CUCGGAGUGAGAGAAUUGAUCGUUUUAUCUUGUGUAGUGUGUCAUAGUACACGACAACCGACGCUGCGUCCAGACAGAAAGUCUAGCAUGUCUUUUUUUUUUUUUGCUUUCCACGACGUGUUCCGUCACGGCUGUGAAUUUGACUGGCUGAGCACAGACUCACACAGCUGUAAACAGAAGGCUACUUAUUAUGCAGAAUGAUGUAAUCUGACCUUCAACUGCUGCCGGACCUCGCGGUAGGAUAUUCAGUCUAGGUUGUGUCGGAGUGUGUGUGUGUGACAGAGAAAGACAGAAAGUAAAUACAUGAAAAAUGACAAACCUUUCAAAAUAUUUUCAUCCCUGUUUCAACCCCUCUUUCAGCUGAUUCCAUCCUCAAUAUAUUUUGUGGCUGACAGAGAGGAUGUGGUGCUGCCCGGCCUCGCUGGCUACAUUGAUGGCAUCAAUGUAGGCAGCAGAUAUGAGGUCUGCGGGGGGGAGGGCCCUGCAUCCCAGGCACCUGAAACUGUACCCUCAAGACAACCUGGAACUUUUCAGUUCCAGGCGAGGCCUGCAGCAUCUCUUGGUCAUGCUGGACCUCCACCCCCACGAGCAGCGCGACUGUUCACAAGCCCAUCCCGCUGUCUUUUUCUCUGUCUUGAAAGGAACAUACUAAUCGGAAGGGUGGAGAGGGGAAACCUCCAAGUUGAUGGGGCAACAUUAUUUGUAGAGUUUAGCCAGCAGGAGGCAACCGUCCCCCUCAUGACGGCUAAGGUCAAAGCCGAAUUGCGGACGGAGGAGGACAUUGUCCUGUGCGAUGCACACGGACACAAACUGGCAGACUCCAGCGGGACAACUGGCAUUUCCUUCUGGAAACAGAAUGCAAGAAAAACACUGGCUAUUGAAAAUAGCCAGUAUGACGAGCUUCAGAGGAGGAGGACAAGUCUCUUUGAGGAGGACGUUCGCAAGAAUGUAGAGAACCUGGUGCAGGCAGCAGAGGAGCUGCCUGCUAUUACUCAGGCUCUGAGGGACCUCGGCCAGUACGCCCGCAACCGGGUUGCUACUGUGGCGUUGACAGAGGCACAGAUCGCCUCUGUCAAGGCCAUCUUCAAGUGCAUCAUUUGCAGAGCAGGAGAAUCUGAGCUCUGGAAGGUUCUUCAGUGAACAUUUCUAGUGAAUAUUCUGAGAACCAGCAGCCAAAAUAUAAAUGAUGGUAUAAUAUAUAUAAAGAGAAGUGGCAAAGAAGAAGUUGAAGAGCCAAUGAAGGCUGAAGGUCGUGAGACAUAUCAUGACAACAUGAAGAAUCACCACAUCCUGAGAAUCAGUAACCUGAAGAAGGAUGACUCAGCAGAAUACACAUUCACACCCCACAGAUAUGUCCAAGGAUGGAAACCUUGAGUGACUUUAGUUGUCACAGUCGACCUCUGACCCUGACAGAGAACCAAAACAAACACCUGGUUCUAGACCCAGUCAGCAUGCAGGAAACUACUCCUGUGCUGUCAGAACCCACAGCAACAGCAUCUCUCAUGAAGAGACUCUCACUGUCCAGAGUAUGAGGGGGAAAUGGACACCAGCAGCAGCUGCAGGAGUCUGUGCUGCUCUCUCCUGGUUAU